AGUUGUUAUCGAGAUACCACUCUAAAAGAACUAGACUUUUAACCUUAUUUUAGGACAUACGAAUCAAGGUAAUGGAGGUGUGCAAAGAUUUUCUUGAGUUGGACUAUAAAGAUUGGUCCUUUUAGUGCAAAAGUAGAAGAGGGUUUGACCACAAGGCCAACUUGUUGAGUAGGAAUGAAAGUUGGUUUUAAUGAUGUAAUAGUGUUAGGUGGAAAUGUCGUCACUCCAUAGAUAAAAGUUACUUUAGGGAUAACAAUCUAAUUUUCCUUGAGAGCUUACAUUGAUAGAAAGGUUUGACACUUGGAUAUUAGCUUUUCUCCACCUGGGGCUACAGUAUAUUCCAAGGAUUGAGUUGUUUGUUCAUUCACAUGAUACAUGAGUUGGAUUUAAAAUGUCUUAAGACAAUUCAGUCCAUAUCUUAUGCAGGAGUUAGAACAUUGAGAGGAGUUUUCCCUAGUAUGAAAUGAUAAGAAUGAUGCAUUCUAGUAUAGUAGCUAUCAUGUACAUGGAAAAAGUUGGGUGACAAAGUACAAAGCGGAUAACUAUUGAGAGCAUCCAAGUAAUAAGUCUACCCCGAUAUGAGUGUUCUCCUAUUCCAACUUCCCCAAAGCCUUUG
rnacentral:ncRNA from 1 species